GAUGAACGCUGGCGGCGUGCCUAAUACAUGCAAGUCGAGCGAACAGACGAGGAGCUUGCUCCUCUGACGUUAGCGGCGGACGGGUGAGUAACACGUGGAUAACCUACCUAUAAGACUGGGAUAACUUCGGGAAACCGGAGCUAAUACCGGAUAACAUGUUGAACCGCAAGGUUCAACCGUGAAAGAAGGUCUUUCUUUCACUUAUAGAUGAAUCCGCGCCGCAUUAGCUAGUUGGUAAGGUAACGGCUUACCAAGGCAACGAUCCGUAUCUGACCUGAGAGGGUGAUCGGCCAAACUGGAACUGAGACACGGUCCAGAAUCCUACGGAGGGCAGCAGUAGGGAAUCUUCCGCAAUGGGCGAAAGCCUGACGGAGCAACGCCGCGUGAGGGAAGAAGGUCUUCGGAUCGUAAAACUCUGUUAUUAGGGAAGAACAAAUGUGUAAGUAACUAUGCACGUCUUGACGGUACCUAAUCAGAAAGCCACGGCUAACUACGUG
rnacentral:rRNA from 1 species